UACGUAUGGAGCGAGCGUUGUCCGGAAUUAUUGGGCGUAAAGCGCGCGUAGGCGGCGAGAUUAGUCUGAUGUGAAAGCCCCCGGCUCAACCGGGGAAGGUCAUUGGAAACUGUUUCGCUUGAGUGCAGAAGAGGAGAGUGGAAUUCCAUGUGUAGCGGUGAAAUGCGCAGAGAUAUGGAGGAACACCAGUGGCGAAGGCGGCUCUCUGGUCUGCAACUGACGCUGAUGUGCGAAAGCGUGGGGAUCAAACAGG
rnacentral:rRNA from 1 species